GGACAGGUGAGAUAUGGGACAGGUGAGAUAUGGACAGGUGAGAUAUGGACAGGUGAGAUAUGGACAGGUGAGAUAUGGACAGGUGAGAUAUGGACAGGUGAGAUAUGGACAGGUGAGAUAUGGACAGGUGAGAUAUGGACAGGUGAGAUAUGGACAGGUGAGAUGGGACAGGUGAGAUAUGGACAGGUGAGAUACAGGUGAGACAUGG